GAGGAUAUAGCUCAGUGGUAGAGUGCAUACCUAGCUUGCACGAGGUCCUGGGUUCAAUCCCCAGUACCUCCA
rnacentral:tRNA from 1 species